rnacentral:rRNA from 1 species
AGGACGAACGCUGGCGGCGUGCUUAACACAUGCAAGUCGAGCGGUAAGGCCUUUCGGGGUACACGAGCGGCGAACGGGUGAGUAACACGUGGGUGAUCUGCCCUGCACUUCGGGAUAAGCCUGGGAAACUGGGUCUAAUACCGGAUAUGACCUCAGGUUGCAUGACUUGGGGUGGAAAGAUUUAUCGGUGCAGGAUGGGCCCGCGGCCUAUCAGCUUGUUGGUGGGGUAAUGGCCUACCAAGGCGACGACGGGUAGCCGACCUGAGAGGGUGACCGGGCCACGACGUGGACUGGAGACACGGCCCAGACUCCUACGGGAGGCAGCAGUGGGGAAUAGUUGCACAAUGGGCGAAAGCCUGAUGCAGCGACGCCGCGUGAGGAUGACGGCCGUUCGGUUGUAACCUCUUUACGAGCCGAAGGACGAAGCGACGAAGUGACGGUACCUGACGAGAAAGAGACACCGGACUAACGUACCGUGCCGA